rnacentral:lncRNA from 1 species
AUAUACACAAAGACAAACAUGAGAACCCGGAGCUCUUUGCGAUUGUAAAAUGGAAGAAGAAUAGGGAAAUAUGCGAGACAGGAACUAUGAUUUAGAGCGAAGACCUUUCAUAAGAGACAGACCGAUUCAGGGAAAGAGUGGGGACAAUAUGAGGGGUGGGUGGUGGAAAAAACUGUGGCUACAUCCAAACCAAACGUGCAUAGAUUAAGUAACGCGUGCAACUUAGUGCACAGGAGUUCGUCAAGACGAAUGGUGCUUCGAAACCAGCGCGAUGCUCGUCGGCGCUGGUAAGAACCGGAAGACGCGAAACCGUUCACGAGAGAACGGGGACCUAUAGUGCAAGCAACAAAAGGGUGCCGGGAAAUCUUCAUGCAGUUUUACAUGCAAGCACUGUCCUUUAUCUGUACGGAAGGUUCCGAGACGGACGAAAACCAAGUCGCUAAGCAGCAAAAGUACAAGCUUCUUAACUAGAUGAAAGCUUCUGAACAUCGAAAUGAGAUAUCAACUGGAGUUACAAAUCAAGUCUGUAUGGUAACGACCGCAACUUUCGAUACAUGGCGAUUUCACUGGUCGGCAGGGGACACGCACGAAAUGGUACUAACAAGCUCAACCUAUCAGCGUAAAGCUCUACCGAUACUUCCAAAGCCUGGCGACUCAAGAUUUACCUCACGAUGCGGUGGGUCUCCAGCUGGUGCGGGAAGAAGGAAUGAGCAGGACCGAAUGUCUCUAUGGGAUGGCUCGCGUGUACACGAAGAUGGUCAAGAAGGGUCUGCCAAAGUAGAUAAGAUUAGGAUGCUUUCCUGCAUCAUUGAAUAUCAUCCAUAUCAUCCGGCUUUGGCUAGAUCUUCACACAACGUAUAACCGAUAAGAUUUAUACGAGUCAAUGCGCUCCUCUAGACGCUAGCGAAGAUAUAUUCAAGAGAAAUACGAAGGGUUUGCAGGUAUAAAACUAAAGCGAAUUGUGAGUUGAGGCACGAUUGCCGUAAUAUGUAAUGUAUAUUCACGCUAUAUAUAUAAGAAGUAUGAAAGAUCUUAGGGAACAACCUUACGGCCUAUUGGAAUUGAACCAAAACACUACCAUAGCCACUUAUCUAAUACCAUUGCUAUCAUAUAAUUGCAGAUAAACUAUGACAUAUCUUACAACAAAUGAAUAUCCCGCAGCGCAAGUUUCAAGUAUAAUCAAUUUACCGUUCUUACCUCGUUCGGAGUGAAUAUUUGGCGUCAAAAGAUGAGUGAAGUGCUGCAAAUGAGGUUCAUAUCUCGUAAAAAAUACCAAGAAGAACAGUAAAAAGACGAGACGUAUUCUAUAUUGAAGUACUUUUUACGUUAGGCCUUGGACAGGAGUUCCACAUUGGGUUAUGCUCACCGACCAUUGAGCAUAGUCUCCGUAUAUUGGAGUUGUAUUUUCAUUGGAGCACAGAGUUACUGAAAACAUAUGGGGAUAAUUAAACAGAUUCAUAUAUGAUUUGCUCUUUGAAAAAAGAUGACAGUCUAAUUUUCUUCGCGAUUAACUAUAUGUUUUCGUCCUAC